CAGUGGUCCCCGUCGGUCUCCGUGCUGCGGGCGGUCGUCUCUCUUCUGCGUCUUUCCCACAGCCCUGUCUGGGUCCCGGGAUGCCCGUCAGUGACAGACCGCCAUUUACUUGGCGCCCUGGUCUCCCAACGUCUAGGCUUGUCACUGGCAUCCACAUGUAGGAGCGUUGUCCAUGACCACCCACCAUCACACCCCAGAUUCCACCCGGCGAUUAAUAACACCUCAGAAUCCAGGAGUCAGUCCCCCUCUCCUCGCCUCCACCUUAGUCCAGCCACCUUCUGUCUCCUGGGGGUCCAGGACCUUCUUCCGGAAUCUCCCGCCCGCAGUGUCCCUUCCCCCUCCCCCAGACCCUACCCCUCGCCUGGCCGCGCUGGUCACCAGGGCAGGGCCUGGCCGGCCCAGGGAAGUGUUCAAGGAAAGAUUGCUGAGUGAGUGACUGGAGCUGUGGCCAGUGCCAGGAGGAGGCUGGACCUCCUGACGGGUCUGUCCUGGCGUCCGGUUCCUGGGUAUUUAAGUGACAUCUGUUCAUUGACGUCUGAAAUAAGUCAUCCAUGGACACUGUUGUGAUGGGAUGACAGGAAGUGAAUGUCCCUGGCUAGCUGACUGAAUGUUUCUCAGACUUUUCAAGAAUGUGGCGACAGUUGGAGAGAUCUACGUGCCAGGAGGGAAAUGCCUGUGCCCACGUGUCCUCGUGUACCCAGCCGGCUCAUUUUUGUGUUCUUUGUGAUGGUUUAACACAUCUCCACCUUCUGAAGUUCCCCAUUCAAGACACAGAACCUAAUUCUCCUCCCAAGAGUAGGCAGACAUAGGGAUGUGAGCCUAAGGAAUAAAAUGUGGAGAAAGCCAAGGCAUGAGACAUCUGAGUGGGUCACAAAAGGCACAGAGGCUCCCCCCGCUGGCUCUGGGGGAGCCGCCGCCCUGCUGGAGGAGGCUCAGGCAGCGUUGCGGUGGCCCCAUGGGGAGGAGCAUAGGAGGGGCCGCCCCAGAAGCGUACCCCCUGCCCGUCGUCAGGCCUUCAGAUGAGGCAGCCUGGCUGAUGCCUCAUCUGCAGCCUCGCGAGGGACCCUCAGUCAGAGCCCCCUUAGACAGAUCACUCCCAGAGUCUUACAGUGAGACAGUUUGUUGUUUUAAGCUACUAAAUCAGGGAGUAACUUGUUAAGACAGUGAGAGGUAAGAACACUGUGCAGGUACCGUCCAUUAAGCAUGUUAAAUAAUAUUUCUGCCGGCCACUGGGAAGCUCCUAGAUUUGCACAGUUUUAGAGCUGAAAGGAUCCCUGGGGCCCCUGGGCUUGCAGACAAGGUAACCAAGCCCCAGCGUGAGCACGUCCAGGUUUCAGAGUGAGUUUAAUGCUGUGUGUGUUCACACACCAAAGCUAUUUUCACAAACACAGUCUAACUCGUGCUGUGAAUUUCCUCCAGGUCCAUCCUGAGCGCGUGGGCUGUUCCAGAGGCAGAUGGAAGGAGGCAGCACUGCCAGAUACCUGGAGGGGAACAGAGCAGGUCCCACAGACGGAGGCUGCCAGCUGGCCCCUCUGCGCUGCUGUGCAGGUGCUUAAAGAGGCCUGUGCAGAACUCCGCCCUCAGGCAGAAUUCUCCAGGUAAGCCCUCCAGCCCUGCUGCCCCAGCCGUGUGGGGAGCACGCCUGCGGGGGUGGGGGGCCUGCUCCUCCACUGCUUGUAAUCACAGGCUACACCCACCAACAGCUGCUAAAACUUACCAGCGGGGUUCAGGGGGGUCAGUUUAAUUAAUCAUUCUUCUUAAACUUGCCGUUGAUGUAGGGAACCCAGUCCAGAAUCAGCCUCCAGUCAGUGGCCCACACGAGCCCCACGGUGCCCACAGCGC